AGAAGCUGGACGCAGACUCGGAGUCGGGGGAGAAAGUGAUGAAAAAGCCAGGGAGAGAGUCAAUAGAAAGGGGAAAAAGGGAGACAAAAAAGAGACAGAAUUACUCAAAGUACGCGCAAUCAUUUCUGUUUUCACAAUAAAAAAGUUCAAUUAAUCCUUCAUUUGUUGAUUGCAUUCACAUGCAAAAAGUGACAAACAUAAUUUCGACGAAAUGAAAAGUCCACCCCAUCGAUGUUUUAGGCAUUUUAACAAUAAUUCUAAUAAUAACGCCCCUUAUUUAUCCCGGGACGCCCUAUUGAGAUGUUGCAACGAGUCCUGAUUAAGACAGAAGCAUGAACAUGAACUAAAACAGUGUCACACACACAAAAAAAGAUAGAAACAAAGCAAUUACAGUAAUAAUACCAAAAAAGACAAAAUAGGCUGUUAAACAUUUGGGAACACCUUUCGUUCAGAGCAGUUUAUAGAAAAUUAAAAAUCUCAAGAUAGAGAGAGAGAGAGAGAGAGAGAGAGAGAGAGAGAGAGAGAGAGAGAGAGAGAGAAUCAUCACAAAGUGUAAUGCAGCUAAGUCAAGUCUUUUCAAGUAAGACUGUUGAAAUGAAAUG